rnacentral:rRNA from 1 species
AACGGCCCACCAAAGCGACGAUCAGUAGCCGGCCUGAGAGGGUGAUCGGCCACAUUGGGACUGAGACACGGCCCAAACUCCUACGGGAGGCAGCAGUGGGGAAUAUUGCACAAUGGGGGAAACCCUGAUGCAGCGACGCCGCGUGAAGGAAGAAGUAUUUCGGUAUGUAAAGCUCUAUCAGCAGGGAAGAAGAAAGUGACGGUACCUGACUAAGAAGCUCCGGCUAAAUAC